AGUAAUACCACCUGGUUGAAGACUUAUUGUCAUCAGCAGAAGACCUCGGUGUUGGACUGUUGCAGCGUCCAGCUUCUCUUCAACAUUCCUCGUCUGUCCUCCAUCUUCCCCUCCAGGCUGCAGCAGUUCUUCUUUAUCUGAGGAAUUUUUCAUCACCUGAAAACUGCUGUAGGUAGGACUGACUUUAUACAUAUGU